GCACGAGUCACGAUAUAUCGUGGGGAUAUGGCAGGUAUAUAAGAAGUACGAGCAUCAUUGAAACCAAUUAUAGUUGGAGUUCACAUUGCAAACGACUUCGCUAAAUCUUCCACUUCUUUGUCGGAUUCAGUCGAUUAUUUAGAUAUUCUGCCAAAAUGCCUGAGUACAAACUGACGUAUUUUAACGUUCGUGCACGCGGUGAACCAGUUCGAACAAUGUUGAAGUUAGCCGGUGUUGAAUAUGAGGAAAGAACUCUUAGUUUUGGAGAGGAGUGGGAAAAUGUAAAAUCAGGUAUACGCUUUGAAUUUGUUGUUUGGAAAUAGUCGUUAUUAAUGUAGAGAGUCUAAGUCUUUUUCGGGAUAUCUUUUCAAAAGUUGUCUAGACCUCAUAUACUAUAUAAUAUACAUAUAUAUAUAUAGCCUAUAGGACUGGUAAUCCUCUCCGUAUAAUCACAGUUGAUAGCGACCAGAUGCAGGACGGGAACGUGACGACGACGGCAAAGAAACUCAUUUAACCAAAUAAUUCGUCUAUUAUCGUAUGAAAUUGAGGUUAAAUCGACGUCACGAAAACUUCCGCGAGAACUUAGGGACCGUUCAUUAUUUAUACCUGGGGUUGGUACCGAAGAGAAGCGAAAAACACUGUAAUUUUUUUAUUUACCCAACCUCAACAUUGGUCAAAAUAAUGUUUACCCAACCCAUGUGUUACUGUACUUAAUAAUUAAACACACAAGAUUAUUUGGUGACAGAAAUCAAGAUGCCUAAAUUUUAAAAGCUCACUCAGACUCAAACUCACUGAGUGUGCCAAUGGAACCACGUUCCUGCUGAUCAAUAAUAGAGUCCUUCCUCAAUCACUGAUAGUCUACUUUGGUACAGAAUGUAUUGUGCACAUUUUUCUUCAUAUUUUCCAAUGCAUGGUAAUUUCGGUUUUAUUUUAUAGCUGACAGACAGCCACAAUUUUUUUUUACCCAACCCAUGAGCUAGUCAAAAACUUGAUUACCCAACCCAUAUCUCUUCGGUACCAACCUCGGGUGUAAAUAAUGAACGGUCCCUUAAUUGUUCAUUUCUGCUCAUUUUCUUGUAUUAAUAUGAUAUUAUUAGCCGUCCUUAUUUUUAAUAACAGUAGUUCUUUAUGAUUUUAAAAGUGUGAAAUUUAGACUGUUUCUUGUCACGUUCCCGUACCAGAUUAAGUCUUGCUUAUAUAAGUUUAGUUUUGCCCCCCCCCCCCCCAAAAAAAAAAAAUUGUGAUAACAUUAAAUUAGUGGUAAUCUUUCUCAAUGGCGAGAAUGAAUCACUUGUGGACUGAUGAGGGAUUGCCCUCACUGGGACGUGAAGGAAGAACGCUUUUUAGAUAUAGAAGUAAAGAGUCAGUGAAUGAUAUGUAUAUAUAAGCAACUUUUGUAGUAAUGCAAUUUAUAUAAUAUGUUCUGUCUUUAUUCAGAUAAUACAAAAUAUCCAUUUAAUCAACUGCCAGUGUUGGAGGUUGAUGGAACACCAAUAGCACAGUCCAUGGCGAUUAUGAGAUAUUUAGGAAAAGAGCACGGUAGUUAUAUUUUCUUUUUCUAUUCUCUCUUAGUCAUCAUCGGCUUUCGCGGAUGUUUCGUGUGUUUGCGUUACCUUCGAUGUCAGCAAUAAAGAACUGCUUCUUUACGUUUUGUUAUGUUUUUAUACUAUAGGUUAUGCACCAAGCAGCAAUCUGGAACAAGCUCAGGCAGAUGCCAUAGUAGAUCAAUGUCAGGAUUUAAUUAAUCAGUUUAUCUGGCUAUAUUUUGCUGAACAAGAUCCUGAGAAAAAGGUAUAAGAUUAUUUUAAAUUGACGGAUUACUAUAAAACUAUUUUAAGAGACUUGUUGCAAUAGAUUUUACAGUCCAUUCCAUUUUUGCCCCCAAUGGCGUCGUUUCCAUGUUUGGCUGUUUUGGCAUGGCAGGUACGAAUGUGUUUCUCUUUGAUCUUAAGCCCCUGCAAUUAUGCAAAUCAUAAAUCUAUUGUGCACGAAACAUAAUAUUUUUUGAAUUUGAAUUUAUUAGAUUUUGUCACACAAAUCACACAAUCACAGAUAAUUAUUUACAGAGGUCAAAAAAGUAUUAAUUUACAAAAGGAUAAUAAUAACAGUUUACAAAAAAAGUCAACUGCAGCGCAGUCUACAGAGUGAGCAAAAAAAAACUGACACCUUUGUUAUUCAAAUUAGCCGCGAAGGUAUCAGUUUUUUUUUACUCAUUAGUAUUUAGUAACCAAAAUAUACUAUAUUAUAGGAGAAACAAAGAAAGAAUUGGUUUGAAAACAAAUUACCUCCAGCAAUGAAAAAUUUUGAAGCAAUUUUGAAACGUAAUGGCACAGGAUAUUUUGUUGGAGACAAGGUAUGAUUGUUCUGAUGCAUGCUCGUUCUGUAUAACGGUGUUAUAUACUCUGCAUGCAAUUUUCUGGAAUUUUAUCUGGAAACUAUGGUGAAACAGAGGUGCUUCGUAAAGUCCAUUGCAAAUUAUAGUCAUUUCACAAAAUUGCAAUCGAGCCUCUCAUGCAUGAUCAGAAUGUUGUACUGAUAUUGCAGAAAACCUGACACACGAGUUUCGCAUGCAUGCAUUGAAUAUUCCGUCUUCCACUAUAAUUUCAUAUUUUAUUUCAUUGCCAGAUAACGUACGCUGACGUUGGAUUCUUUAGUUUGUUCAAUGUUUACUUGGCACUCGGGAAACCCACAGUGCCCAAGGAAUUUGAUGGAUACCCAUUAAUAAGUGCUUUGUAUGAGCGUAUAACGAAGGAACCAAGAAUCGCUGCUUACAUCAAGACAAGACCAGAUGCCAUUAUAUGAAACGUUUACAAAGAGGACGGCAUGAAUAUAUCAGCUUAAUUAAAAUAUAUUUAUAUAAUAUGCGUCGAUAUAUAGCAACUUUGAUUUAUCA